UACGAAGGGGGCUAGCGUUGUUCGGAAUUACUGGGCGUAAAGCGCGCGUAGGCGGCGAUCCAUGUCAGGGGUGAAAUCCCGGGGCUCAACUCCGGAAUUGCCUUUGAAACGGGAUUGCUAGAGUCCGAGAGAGGAUGGCGGAAUUCCUAGUGUAGAGGUGAAAUUCGUAGAUAUUAGGAAGAACACCGGUGGCGAAGGCGGCCAUCUGGCUCGGUACUGACGCUCAGGCGCGAAAGCGUGGGGAGUAAACAGG
rnacentral:rRNA from 1 species